rnacentral:rRNA from 1 species
UACGUAGGGUGCAAGCGUUGUCCGGAUUUAUUGGGCGUAAAGAGCUCGUAGGCGGUUUAGCAAGUUGGGUGUGAAAACUCCAGGCUCAACCUGGGAACUGCGUCUGAUACUGGAUGGCUUGAAUUCGGGAGAGGGAUGCAGAAUUCCUGGUGUAGCGGUGAAAUGCGCAGAUAUCAGGAGGAACACCGGUGGCGAAGGCGGUUCUCUGGGCAUUACCUGACGCUGAGGAGCGAAAGUGUGGGGAGCGAACAGG